rnacentral:lncRNA from 1 species
CAUAUGUCAGACUCACAAGACAAAGGUCACAAAGCCUCCACAUCCCAUAAAUGACCUUACAUUUACACUAACAUUGUGUACUGCAACCCACCUCAACAGCAGAGCAGGUCUCAGCCCACCUGAAGUAAAUGCAAGCCUCAGACUGGCCGGGAAGGAGUGCAAAUGGGCUCUGAUGGCCUUGGGCAUUGGUUACGGGGUUGGGCAAAGCUAAAGCCAAUUUGGCUGACAUCAAUUGAUUGCAAAGCUAAAGCCAAUUUGGCUGAGAUCAAUUGAUUGCAAAGCUAAAGCCAAUUUGGGCAAGAUCAAUUGAUUGCAAAGCUAAAGCCAAUUUGGGCAAGAUAAAUUGACUGCACCUGCCAAAAUCAAUGCAACUCACAGAAUGGCCGCAAAGGGGCGCGAGUCUCAGACUGGCCGGGAAGGAGCGCAAAUGGGCUCCGAUGGCCUCGGGCAUUGGUUACGGGGUUGGGCAAAGCUAAAGCCAACUUAUUUGCAAUGCAUUAACUGCAAAGCUAAAGCCAAUUUGGUUGAGAUAAAUUAUUUGUAAAGCUAAAGCCAAUUGGUUUGAUGCAAAAUAACUGCACACGCUGAAAUUGGUGUGACUCUCAGCAUGGCCGUGAGUCUCAAACAGCCUGGAUGGAGUGUGAAUGGUCUCUGUCCAGCUACAGGAUGUCAGUUACGGGAUUAGGGUCAGCCACGCUAGCAAACUCAAAGCGAAGGUGACCCAAACCCUUUGAUGUGCUAUCCCUUGAAAUUCUCUGAAAGAUUGCAGCCGGCUGCUUGGACGGGUACAUUGCUUGCUAGAUGAAGAACUAGCUGAACCUCCUGGCCUCAUGAGUGCUGCUCGAUCGUGUUAAAUGCAGCUGGUAUGCCAUCCUGAGUGCUCUGCAGGCCUGUUCUGUCCAAUAUCGUCAUUGAUGACCUGCCUGACGGCAUGGAGUGCACCCUUGGUAAGUUUGCUGAGGGCGUUGCAUCAGAUUAGCACUAUGUUUGGAGUUCAGAGCUCAUUAGGGUUGGGGUGAAGGUAUUAGGGUUAGGUUUAUUAGGGUUAUCCUCAAAGUGACUGUUAGGGAAGGCCAAGGCAAAGGCAACAACACCCAAGGGAACACCAAAACUGAGGGCAAAGGCAUAGACAACAACCAAGGGAAGGCAACGUCAAAGGCAAAGGGAAAGCAAAGGUAUGGAGAACACCUCCUCAGAGGGCAGGCCCAAAGAGAGGGCCUCAGAGAACAAAACAGACCAAAGAGAACACCGUGGCAAGGCCAAAAUGGAGGGCGAGGUCCAUGAGAACGCUGCAGGGAAAGCCGAUGCAGGAGGCCAAGGGCAAUGGCCAAAGAGAAUGCAGCACAGAAGGCCAAAACCAAAGGCCAAAGAGAAUGCUGUAGGGAAUGCCAAAACAAGAAGGCCAAAGGCAAAGGCCAAACAGAACGCAACAGGGAAUGCCAAAACCAAAGGCCAAAGAGAUCGUCACAGAGAAUGCCACAACAGGAGGCUGAAAGGAGCACGGCAAAGAAGGCCAAGGGCAAAGGUCAAAGAGAACAUGGAAGGGAACGCCAAAGAGAAUGUGGCAAAGGUGGCCAAGCGCAAUGGCCAGGAGAAUGUGGCAUGGAUGGCGAAAACAUAAGGCCAAAUAGAACACUGCAUGGAACACCAGAAGUGAUGGCCAAAGAGAACGAUGCAGGGAAUGCCAAAACCGGAGGCCAAAGAGAAUGCCACAAAGAAGGCCAAGGGCAAUGGCCAAGAGAACAUGACAUGGAAUGCAAAAACACGAGGGCAAGAGAAUGCAGUAGGGAAUGCCAAGGGCAAAGGGAAGGAGAACACCGCAGUGAAAGGCCAGAGCCAAGGAGAACGUGCAAAGAAUAGGACAGGCAGCCUUCGGGGCACCCUGAAGUGCAGAAAGGAGCUCUGGGAACCCUACCUUGUGUCUCACUCAGUAAGGGGUAAACACUGGUGGGUGUGCAUUGUCCUUACCUGCUGGGCAGACAAUUACCAGUCAGCAAAGUGGGGUUCCAGGGCAUCCCAGGAAAUGCAGCUUUCGGUUCCUUGCUGUUCCCGUGAAGACCCGCACAUCUCUCCGUGCAGUCGUUACAGAACCCGGGAGUGCUGCAGCUCUCUGCUGCCACCUGUUAAACACAAUGCAGUAAUGAAGGCGCCGCCCCGCAUAUGUAGGGCUGCACCCUGUGUGCAUUGCUCUAUAGGAUGACACAAGGGAGUAUUGCGAAUAUAAUGAAUGCUAUGCAUAGGUUUGAAGUUACAAUUAGCUUAACAAUUGUUUUCCACACUAUGAUUAGGAUUAAGGGUACUGUGACAGAAAACAAGCGGCAUUAUUUUUAUUGCAGCAUUUAGGUUAAGAGACGUUUUUAAUAUUAGCUUAAUAGUUAGGUUUACAUAUACA